CCUACGGGUGGCUGCAGUCGAGAAUCAUUCACAAUGGGGGAAACCCUGAUGGUGCGACGCCGCGUGGGGGAAUGAAGGUCUUCGGAUUGUAAAUCCCUGUCAUGUGGGAGCACAUUAAAAAGUUAGUACCAAAAGAGGAACGGACGGCUACCUCUGUGCCAGCAGCCGCGGUAAUACAGAGGUCUCAAGCGUUGUUCGGAUUCACUGGGCGUAAAGCGUGCGUAGGCUGUUUCGUAAGUCGUGUGUGAAAGGCGCGGGCUCAACCCGCGGACGGCACAUGAUACUGCGGGACUAGAGUAAGGGAGAGGGAACCGGAAUUCUCGGUGUAGCAGUGAAAUGCGUAGAUAUCGGGAGGAACACUCGUGGCGAAGGCGGGUUCCUGGACAUCAACUGACGCUGAGGCACGAAGGCCAGGGGAGCGAAAGGGAUUAGAUACCCCUGUAGUC
rnacentral:rRNA from 1 species